CCCUUAGAUGUUCUGGGCCGCACGCGCGCUACACUGUUCGACGCAGCGAGUCUUAACCUUGACCGAAAGGUUUGGGUAAUCUUCAGCAAAGUCGAACGUGAUGGGGAUCGAUCAUUGCAAUUAUUGAUCGUGAACGAGGAAUUCCUAGUAAGUGCAAGUCAUCAGCUUGCGCUGAUUACGUCCCUGCCCUUUGUACACACCGCCCGUCGCUACUACCGAUUGAAUGGUUUAGUGAGAUCUCUGGAUUGACGCUGGCUAGGGGGCGACCCUUGGCCAGACUGUGGAGAAACUGCUCAAACUUGAUCAUUUAGAGGAAGUAAAAGUCGUAACA
rnacentral:rRNA from 1 species